ensembl:lncRNA
CUAUAGAGUGCUACAGAAGUUCCUCUGCCCCUGUCCAGUGCCACACUCUGUGAUGUGGGUCCUGCACUAUCACCAGAAGUGGAAAAACUGCAUGUGUACUUUCAGUCUGUUUACCUGCAACAAAUGUCGAGGGUACCGUGUGAUGUUCCCAUGACAGCUCCCUAGCAUGACCCUAGCAUGGUCAGGCAUAAUAGUCACAGGAAAAGAAACUGCCUCCAGAUAACCCUGGCCAUGAGGGAAGGCUGUGGACUUUCUUGCUGGGAACUGAGCAUGCAUCUUCUGGGCAUUCACGGCAACCAGAGUAAAUUUAAGUGCCCUCAAAUUCUACAGACCCUGCUGUGAAUCUUAUUGCUAAGGUCUACAUCUCUCCAGAGAAAAUACGAUGCUUACAGUGGCUUAUGGCUCAAGAAAAUGUGACUAAAGACUGUGCACACUGAAGAUGAAUGAAGUUGUUGAGAUGAGCAGGAAGCAAACAUAGUGUUUCACAGAAUCACAGAAUGGCCUGGGUUGGAAGGGACCUCAAGGAUUAUGAAUCUCCAACCCCCCCUCCUGAGGCAGGGCCACCAACUUCCACAUUUCCACAUUUCUACAUUGUAUUCAGAAAACUCAGAUAUUUGGAGUGCUAUUGCAGAAAUGAGGGGCAAAAAUGAUAAUGUCUCUCUACUGACCCAGAACCAAUGGAAAUCUGUCUUGUUAGUCUUCUCAUAUAGAAAAUAACCAAUCUGUCAACAAAACCCUACUUAAUGAAAUCCUCAUUUUAUGCUCCACAUUGGAUUCUAUAUGAAAGUGAUGACUGACAAGCUUAUUUGGUUUUAGUUUUGGCAUUUUCUGGAAGGAAAUAACUGCAUAUAUGACUUCUAAAACUUAACAAAAUACAAAUCACCAACAGCCAGUGACAAGGCUCUGUGAACAGCCUUGUUUUGGAGCACACUGCUGUGGGCAUCACAUCAAACCUCCCUGGACACUGAGUGAAGAAAGAGAGACAGUAGGAGCAAAAAAAUAUAAAUACUGCAUGUUAAAAAAAUUCUCUCCCCCUUCCUUUCCCUUCCUUUCCUGUCCUCACACAUACUUUGGCAUUUAUCUACCAUGACAAGCCUCAUUUCUCCUUUUAAAAGAAUGCAUAAAUGAGCUAUGAAUAUUUGAUCCUUUUUUAAACAAAUAUUUUGGUUUGACAAGUCACAGCAGAUAAGACUACCCAAGAUGGUAGCCAGCUGCUCUGGAGGAAGGAGCAUAGGUAGGGUGGGAGGCCAGUGGUGGAGGCAUCACCUUUUCUGAGACACUGCACACAGGCUGCUUUGUACAACCGUCCAUUGUCCACAGGAGUAACACUUUGCUGUUGUAAACCUCCUGUUUUUAUGCAGAUUACUUCAAAGCAAUUGAUAAUUCUGCAUAUUUUUUUGCAGAGGACAAAUUCUGCCAUGCUUAUGCACCACUUCUGUCCAUGCAUGAGCAGUUCAGCUGACUUCAGUUUGAAUAUUCACAGUUUAUAGUCCAACACCUCAGUGUGUCCUUUCAAGAUGAUCGCUUAAACAGUUCAUAAUUCUUUCUGUCAGGGCUUUUCAGAGAUUUUUCUCUGUGAUGUUGGACAAAUUGAUUCCCACUGUAACCAAUCCAAGUUAGCUGCUUUAUUGAGAAGAUGUUAGCCUCACAUGACAGUGAAAUUCAAAAAAUGGAAUGAAUAAAGGUUUUUAUUUGGACACUCAUUUAUGGAUUUGUCCAUAUCAUAUUUCAGGGUUGACUUCCAGGCAUUUUCUAAUCAGCAUAAAUUCUUCCCAGGUUUUUAUUGUACUAUGCUGAUAUUUUAAAUCAGCGAUCAAUCAGCAGAUUUUCAAAUACCUGCUUCUAUCUGAUUUGCACUAAAGUUGCGAGCAUGUAAAAGGAGUAUUUAAAACUAAACAAACCUAGAUGCUUGUGUGUGAACUUAGCUAAAGUGCCCUUUUUCUCUUUAAAAUCUAUUUAAGUUAUGUUUUCUGGUAGGAUAACACAGAUGGCUUUGGGGGGAUUUUUUGCUUUGUCAAAAUUGAC